CACGCCUCACCUCUCUCACUCUCACCCACCCUCACGGAAGCCCUAGCCGCCGCCUCUCUCCUCAGUCAUCCUCAAUCGCACGUCCGCCGCCGCUCGCACGUCCGCCUCUCACGGUGAAAGAAGCCCAAGCCGCCAGCCGCCGCUCGCACGUCCGCCAAGCUCCGCCGAGAUGAUGGUGAGGUUGUUUCUACCCCAACGUGUUCAAAGGACGGAAGCUCUCAAGUAAAUGAUGCGGAAUCUUCUAAAAGACCCAACGAUACAUAUGAAGAUAUAAUGGAUUUGGAUUUGGAUUCGGAUGAAGGGGAAUAGGAGGUUUAUGAGAAAUUGGAAAUGAACUUUACUAUGCUUUUUAAUUAUGCUUUGGACUUCUUAAUUUCUUAUGCUAAGUUAAUAUUUUUUACACUUUGAACAUUAGUAUUGUUUGUUGUAACUUUCAAAUUUCUAGUUUGUACUUUAGAUU